rnacentral:rRNA from 1 species
ACGAUCAAGUGUCUUAAGGGCAUUUGGUGGAUGCCUUGGCAUGCACAGGCGAUGAAGGACGUGAUACGCUGCGAUAAGCUACGGGGAGGUGCGAAUACCCUUUGAUCCGUAGAUUUCCGAAUGGGGCAACCCACCUUAGAUAGCUAGAAAAUCUUUUUAGUUGUCGGCUACGCCGACGUCCGCAGCACGAGCUGCGACGGCCGGUCGGCCUUGCGGAGCUUCGCUCCGUCUGGCGCGAAACCUUCAACUGAAAUGAUUUCUAGCUAUCAAUAAUAAGGUAUCUUGCGCUGAAUACAUAGGUGUAAGAAGCGAACCUGGGGAACUGAAACAUCUAAGUACCCAGAGGAAAGGACAUCAAACGAGACUCCGCUAGUAGUGGCGAGCGAACGCGGACCAGGCCAGUGGCUUUUGUGAGACAAGUGGAACGAAUUGGAAAGUUCGGCCAUAGCGGGUGAUAGCCCCGUACACGUAAUGCGAACGAAAGUCCUUGAGUAGGGCGGGACACGUGAAAUCCUGUCUGAACAUGGGUAGACCACUAUCCAAGCCUAAGUACUCGUGCAUGACCGAUAGCGAACCAGUACCGUGAGGGAAAGGUGAAAAGCACCCCGACAAGGGGAGUGAAAGAGAACCUGAAACCGAAUGCCUACAAACAGUUGGAGCCCAAGGUUUGUCCUGGGUGACAGCGUACCUUUUGUAUAAUGGGUCAGCGACUUAGUCUGGCGAGCAAGCUUAAACCGGUAGGUGUAGGCGCAGCGAAAGCGAGUCUGAACAGGGCGUUCAGUUCGUCGGAUUAGACCCGAAACCGAGUGAUCUAGCCAUGAGCAGGUUGAAGGUAAGGUAACACUUACUGGAGGACCGAACCCGCAUCUGUUGCAAUAGAUUGGGAUGACUUGUGGCUAGGGGUGAAAGGCCAAUCAAACUCGGAGAUAGCUGGUUCUCCGCGAAAUCUAUUUAGGUAGAGCGUCGAUUUUAUACUCCAGGGGGUAGAGCACUGGAUGGGCUAGGGGUCCUCACCGGAUUACCAAACCUAACCAAACUCCGAAUACCUGGAAGUACUGAUCGGCAGACACACGGCGGGUGCUAACGUCCGUCGUGGAGAGGGCAACAACCCUGACCACCAUCUAAGGUCCCCAAGUUAUGGCUAAGUGGGAAAGGAUGUGAGGAUCCCAAAACAACCAGGAUGUUGGCUUAGAAGCAGCCAUCAUUUAAAGAAAGCGUAACAGCUCACUGGUCUAAAUAAGGGUCUUUGCGCCGAAAAUGUAACGGGGCUAAAGCCAUACACCGAAGCUGUGGAUUCUUGAGGAACCUAACGGUUCCCUGGGAGUGGUAGCGGAGCGUUCCCCAAGCUGUUGAAGCGGGACCCGUGAGGGCCCGUGGAGGUACGGGAAGUGAGAAUGCUGACAUGAGUAACGAUAAAGGGAGUGAGAGACUCCCUCGCCGAAAGUCCAAGGGUUCCUGCUUAAAGUUAAUCUGAGCAGGGUUAGCCGGCCCCUAAGGCGAGGCCGAAAGGCGUAGUCGAUGGGAACCACGUUAAUAUUCGUGGGCCUGCGGGUAGUGACGGAUCGCGUGUAUCGUCAGGUCUUAAUGGAUUGAUCUGGCGGUGAAGCGGUUCCAGGAAAUAGCUCCCGCGUAUAGACCGUACCCUAAACCGACACUGGUGGACUGGUAGAGAAUACCAAGGCGCUUGAGAGAACUGCGUUGAAGGAACUCGGCAAAUUGCACGCGUAACUUCGGAAGAAGCGUGACCCCUUUUUGGGCAACCGAAGGGGGGUGGCACAGACCAGGGGGUAGCGACUGUUUACCAAAAACACAGGGCUCUGCGAAGUCGCAAGACGACGUAUAGGGUCUGACGCCUGCCCGGUGCUGGAAGGUUAAGAGGAGGGGUGCAAGCUCUGAAUCGAAGCCCCAGUAAACGGCGGCCGUAACUAUAACGGUCCUAAGGUAGCGAAAUUCCUUGUCGGGUAAGUUCCGACCUGCACGAAUGGCGUAACGACUUCCCCGCUGUCUCCAACGCAGACUCAGUGAAAUUGAAUUCCCCGUGAAGAUGCGGGGUUCCUGCGGUUAGACGGAAAGACCCCGUGCACCUUUACUAUAGCUUUACACUGGCAUUCGUGACGACAUGUGUAGGAUAGGUGGUAGGCUUUGAAGCCAGGGCGCCAGCCUUGGUGGAGCCAUCCUUGAAAUACCACCCUUAUCGUCAUGGAUGUCUAACCGCGGCCCGUUAUCCGGGUCCGGGACAGUGUAUGGUGGGUAGUUUGACUGGGGCGGUCGCCUCCUAAAGAGUAACGGAGGCGCGCGAUGGUGGGCUCAGACCGGUCGGAAAUCGGUCGUCGAGUGCAAUGGCAUAAGCCCGCCUGACUGCGAGACUGACACGUCGAGCAGAGUCGAAAGACGGUCAUAGUGAUCCGGUGGUCCCGCGUGGAAGGGCCAUCGCUCAACGGAUAAAAGGUACGCCGGGGAUAACAGGCUGAUGACCCCCAAGAGUCCAUAUCGACGGGGUUGUUUGGCACCUCGAUGUCGACUCAUCGCAUCCUGGGGCUGGAGCAGGUCCCAAGGGUAUGGCUGUUCGCCAUUUAAAGCGGUACGUGAGUUGGGUUCAGAACGUCGUGAGACAGUUCGGUCCCUAUCUGCCGUGGGUGUAGGAAUAUUGACAGGAUCUGUCCCUAGUACGAGAGGACCGGGAUGGACGUAUCUCUGGUGGACCUGUUGUGGCGCCAGCCGCAUAGCAGGGUAGCUAUAUACGGACGGGAUAACCGCUGAAGGCAUCUAAGCGGGAAACCCACCUGAAAACGAGUAUUCCCUAUCAGAGCCGUGGAAGACCACCACGUUGAUAGGCCGGGUGUGGAAGUGCGGCAACGCAUGCAGCUUACCGGUACUAAUAGCUCGAUCGACUUGAUCG